AGUGAACGCUGGCGGUAGGCCUAACACAUGCAAGUCGAACGGCAGCACAGUAAGAGCUUGCUCUUACGGGUGGCGAGUGGCGGACGGGUGAGGAAUACAUCGGAAUCUACUUUUUCGUGGGGGAUAACGUAGGGAAACUUACGCUAAUACCGCAUACGACCUACGGGUGAAAGCAGGGGAUCUUCGGACCUUGCGCGAUUGAAUGAGCCGAUGUCGGAUUAGCUAGUUGGCGGGGUAAAGGCCCACCAAGGCGACGAUCCGUAGCUGGUCUGAGAGGAUGAUCAGCCACACUGGAACUGAGACACGGUCCAGACUCCUACGGGAGGAAGCAGUGGGGAAUAUUGGACAAUGGGCGCAAGCCUGAUCCAGCCAUACCGCGUGGGUGAAGAAGGCCUUCGGGUUGUAAAGCCCUUUUGUUGGGAAAGAAAAGCGGCAGGUUAAUACCCCGCUGUUCUGACGGUACCCAAAGAAUAAGCACCGGCUAACUUCGUG
rnacentral:rRNA from 1 species